CAUCAUGGGGAAAAUCGCGCUGCAGUUGAAAGCCACGCUGGAGAACAUCACCAACCUCCGGCCCGUGGGCGAGGACUUUUGGUGGUAUCUGAAGAUGAAAUGUGGUAACUGUGGUGAAAUUUCAGAGAAGUGGCAAUACAUCCGACUGAUGGACAGUGUGGCCCUGAAGGGAGGUCGUGGCAGUGCCUCUAUGGUCCAGAAGUGCAAGCUGUGUGCACGGGAAAAUUCCAUUGAGAUUUUGAGCAGCACCAUCAAGCCUUAUAAUGCUGAAGACAAUGAGAAGUUCAAGACAAUUGUGGAAUUUGAGUGCCAGGGCCUCGAGCCAAUUGAUUUCCAGCCCCAGGCGGGGUUUGCUGCUGAGGGUGUGGAAUCAGGGACAGUCUUCAAUGACAUUAACCUGCAGAAGGACUGGACUGACUAUGACAAAAAGUCUCAGGAGUCUGUGGGAAUCUUCGAGGUCACACACCAGUUUGUGAAGUGCUGAACCCUCUUGCUGCACACUUCCCCUUAAGAACUGAGAAGAGACAAAGUGGCCCAAGUAGUAGCACCUGCACAGGCUGGUGCCCAUGUCCCUCAUCUCUUGGCAGUGAUGCCUUCUUGAUCUGCAUGCUGGGCUCUGUCUUAGCUCCUGAGUUUCACCAAUAAAGCCCCAGUUCU